GAUGAACGCUAGCUACAGGCUUAACACAUGCAAGUCGAGGGGUAACGAGAGGGAAGCUUGCUUUCCUUGUCGACGACCGGCGCACGGGUGAGUAACGCGUAUCCAACCUGCCCCCAACUAGGGAAUAACCUUGCGAAAGUAAGACUAAUACCCUAUAAUUUCCUCAGAUGUCAUCUGACGAGGAAUAAAGAUUUAUCGGUUGUGGAUGGGGAUGCGUCUGAUUAGCUUGUUGGCGGGGUAACGGCCCACCAAGGCAACGAUCAGUAGGGGUUCUGAGAGGAAGGUCCCCCACAUUUGAACUGAGACACGGUCCAAACUCCUACGGGAGGCAGCAGUGAGGAAUAGUGGUCAAUGGGCGGAAGCCUGAACCAGCCAAGUAGCGUGCAGGAUGACGGCCCUAUGGGUUGUAAACUGCUUUUAUACAGGAAUAAAGUUAGCCACGUGUGGUUAUUUGUAGGUACUGUAUGAAUAAGGACCGGCUAAUUCCGUGCCAGCCGCCGCGGUAA
rnacentral:rRNA from 1 species